rnacentral:misc_RNA from 1 species
GAUGAAGAACGCAGUGAAAUGCGAUACGUAAUGUGAAUUGCAGAAUUCAGUGAAUCAUCGAGUCUUUGAACGCACAUUGCGCCCCCUGGUAUUCCGGGGGGCAUGCCUGUCCGAGCGUCAUUGCUGCCCUCAAGCACGGCUUGUGUGUUGGGCCUCCGUCCUCCUCCCGGGGGACGGGCCCGAAAGGCAGCGGCGGCACCGCGUCCGGUCCUCGAGCGUAUGGGGCUUCGUCACCCGCUCUUGUAGGCCCGGCCGGCGCUUGCCGACACAUCAAUCUUUUUUCCAGGUUGACCUCGGAUCAGGUAGGGAUACCCGCUGAACUUAAGCAUACAAUAAGCGGAGGA